rnacentral:rRNA from 1 species
UUGAUGAAUUUUGCAAGGUUGGUGCAGAAGGACUACAACAUGAUCCCUACAAGGAGCAAGCUAGCAAGAGCAAGAAGGAUAGCAAUAAAGCAGAUUCAUGGAGAUGAGGAGAAACAAUACUCGAUGAUGUGGGACUAUGCACAAGAGAUCAGAAUGUCAAACCCUGGAAGUAGCAUGUUUAUCAAACUCAAAGAUGGCAGAUUCCACCAAUGUUACAUGUCAUUAGAUGCUUGUAAAAGAGGCUUUUUGGCUGGAUGCAGGCCUGUUAUUUGUGUUGAUAGGUGCCAUCUUAAAACAAAAUAUGGUGGACAAUUGUUGACUGCUGUAGGGAUUGAUCCAAACAACUGUAUUUUCCCCAUUGCUAUGGCUGUAGUUGAAGUGGAGGACACACCAACAUGGAAGUGGUUUCUACAGACUUUGAAAGAUGAUCUGCACAUAGUGAACACAGCACCUUGGACAGUGAUGAGUGAUAGGCAAAAAGGACUAAUAAAUGCCGUUACUGCUUUGUUCCCUCAUGGACAACACAGGUUUUGUGUGAGGCACCUUUACCAAAAUUUUGCAAAGAAGUGGAAGGGCGAGAACCUGAAGAACAAGUUAUGGGCAAUUGCAAGGUCGUACAAUAAAAUUGACUGGAGAAAAAACAUGGAUGACAUGAAGGAAUUAAAUCUGGAAGCUUAUGAGUACUUAGAAGCAAUUGAACCAAGUUCCUGGUGCAGGGCCUUUUUCCAAGAAUUACCAAAGUGUGACCUGCUACUAAACAAUAAUUGUGAGGUCUUUAAUAAG